rnacentral:miRNA from 1 species
UUUUACAUUUAAUGGAGAUUUUGUUAAAAUGCAGAUUCUGACUCCAUUGGUCAGAAUGGGACCUGAGAACCUGCAUUUCUAACAAGACAUCUCCCCCACAUGCUGUA